rnacentral:lncRNA from 1 species
AUAGAUUACGACCUUCUUGAUGUUUUGCUUCAACUUUUAUAAAAAGUCGAAAUAAAGGAAGUUGAUGAUUUGGUAAUUUGAAUAAGGAGUAACUUUUAUAAUUCCUUUCAAACGAAGAUAGCUCAUUUCAUGUCCACAAUCCCACCAACUGUUCAUCUGCAUGCGUAAUCUGUGAAUUGUUCAUUUAAAUUUCCAACUUUUCUUUUUCUUCGGAAACAAACAGACAAGUCGCUUACGUUUAGGAAAGUGGAAAAAAGUAUUCUUUGAAGGCAACCUUUGUUGUUCGCAUCUAGUCUUAUCUCCCUGAAAUUGCAGUGGAGUAGACUGAGGCACUAGUUCCUAUACCUCUAAAGAUGCAGUAAAAGAGAAUGAGGCUACUUGAAGAAGAAGAGUACCAAGGUCCAGCACGACCGGGCCAAAUCGGGCAUUUUUAAGUCUUUGCUCCGUCCCUAUUACACGAUAACGAGCAAAGAGGGGCAGCUGUAAUACCCGAUUUUGGCCCGGGUAAAAGGCCCAAAAUACAAAUGUGUCCGUAAGACCCAAAAUGAACCGAGGCCCGAAUACAACGGCCCAAAAUAGAUGAAAAACCCUAGGGUUUCUAAACUUCGGUCGCCGCAACUCCAAUCUUCCACACAGGCCGAAUCUCCACGCAAUCUUCACCUGCACGAUAAGGAAAGAAACAAAAUGGAAAGAAAAUCAAAAGAUUGAAAAUCAAAUCCAACAGAUUUACUUUCUAUGUUGUUAUUUUAUUAUAAAAUAGCCAUUGAAAUAUUGUAACGGGACCGAUUAAAAAAUCAAUAAAAAAACAAUUACCUUUACAGCAAAAACACAGUUAGUUCAAUACCGAAAGAGCAUAAAUCGUUCCAAGGUUGAUAUUUAUUUCUUUAUCUUUGUUAAUCUACAGUUUUUAUUAUUAUAUGUUUUUUUAUCUAUGUGCUAAGAAAAUAAAUAGAAAGAAAAGGAAAGAAACGACCUGAGUGGUAUCCAGAACCGCCGUGAACGGUCGGAAACCGAAAGGUUUCUCGGAGAUUUGAGGCUCUUACAGCAAUGUUUUGUGGGUUUCGGGUCCAGAUCUAGGUUUAGGGGCUUCAAAGGGAUAGAAUAGAAGAUUUUCUCCUUUUUCGGCCACCGCAGACGGCGGUGCCGACGCCGGAGAUCGGCGGCCGGUGCGGUGGCCGGUGACUGGACCUAGGCCGGACGAUUGGAGAAGGAGAGCUUUUUUUAAAGGUUCUUUUUUUU